CCUACGGGUGGCAGCAGUGGGGAAUAUUGCACAAUGGGCGCAAGCCUGAUGCAGCCAUGCCGCGUGUAUGAAGAAGGCCUUCGGGUUGUAAAGUACUUUCAGCGGGGAGGAAGGUGUUGAGGUUAAUAACCUCAGCAAUUGACGUUACCCGCAGAAGAAGCACCGGCUAACUCCGUGCCAGCAGCCGCGGUAAUACGGAGGGUGCAAGCGUUAAUCGGAAUUACUGGGCGUAAAGCGCACGCAGGCGGUCUGUCAAGUCGGAUGUGAAAUCCCCGGGCUCAACCUGGGAACUGCAUUCGAAACUGGCAGGCUAGAGUCUUGUAGAGGGGGGUAGAAUUCCAGGUGUAGCGGUGGAAUGCGUAGAGAUCUGGAGGAAUACCGGCGGCGAAGGCGGCCCCCUGACAAAGACUGACGCUCAGGUGCGAAAGCGUGGGGAGCAAACAGGAUUAGAUACCCGUGUAGUC
rnacentral:rRNA from 1 species